rnacentral:rRNA from 1 species
AGUGAACGCUGGCGGUAGGCUUAACACAUGCAAGUCGAACGGCAGCACAGUAAGAGCUUGCGCUGACGGGUGGGGAGUGGGGGAAGGGAGAGGAAUACAUCGGAAUCUACUCUUUGGUGUGGGAUAAGGUAGGGAAACUUACGCUAAUACCGCAUACGACCUACGGGGGAAAGCAGGGGAACUUCGGGCCUUGCGGGAUUGAAUGAGCCGAUGUCGGAUUAGUUGGUUGGCGGGGUAAAGGCCCACCCAGUAGAGGAUCCGUGGCUGGACUGGGGGGAGGAUCAGCGACCCUGGAACUUAGACGCGGUCCAGACGCCUACGGGACGCAGCAGUGUGGUAUAGUGGACAACAGGCGCAAGCCUGGUCCAGCGAUACCGCGUGUGUUAAGAAGGCCUUGCGGUUGUAAAGCCGGUCUGUGGGUUAAGAACAGCAUCAGGUUAAUACGCAGCUGGUGUGACGGUACCCAGAGAAUAAGCACCGGCUAACUUCGUG